UGCACGAAUGCCGAAGGAACUACAGCCUCUUAAGCUCCGGGUCGCGGGUUCGAAUCCCGCCCGCUGUGGAAACACAGCGGUAGCUCAGUCAGGUCAGAGCAGGAUGUUCCUUCAAACCUCGUCGUGCAGGC
rnacentral:Y_RNA from 1 species